AUGCAUGUGGCUACACCGGGGCGCAUUAUUUUGGUCAAGGCCGUGCUCACUGCCAUUGCCAUUUACCACCUCACGCCCCUAGAUCUUCCGGUUGAAGUGAUGAAGAAGAUCGAUAGCCUGCGACGUGCCUACCUUUGGGCGGGCUGUGAUAAGGUGACCGGCGGAAAAUGUAAGGUUAAUUGGGAUCUCGUCUGCAAGCCCAAGAUUUAUGGUGGACUGGGAGUGCUCAACCUCCAAAAAUUUGCAACCGCCCUGCGUUUGCGUUGGCUGUGGCACGAACGGGAUGAACCACCUAAGACUUGGUCUGGCUCUGGAACACCUUGCACUAGCAACGAUAAAGAUCUCUUCGCGGCUGCUACACGGGUGUGCAUUGGAGAUGGAAACAAAGCUAAUUUUGGGAAUCUCCAUGGUUGGACGGCCUCCGGCCUAAAGAUAUUGCACCAAAGAUUUUUGAGCUGUCAAAAAAGAAAACGUUCUUGGUCAGGAAAGCUCUUGACAACAACCUUUGGGUCCGCCAAAUUGACACUCGGCAGGGGCUAA
rnacentral:rRNA from 1 species